UUCUAAGUUUAACUACCAGUUUGCUGAGGCAACACUAAUUAGACAUAUGAAAAAGCAAGUGUUCUUAAUAAUCAGGUCUCCAUGGAUAAUGUAGGGGGUCAAGGAAUCCUCUGACAUUGCAUACGAAAUCUUAAAUUUAUGCAUAUGAUUUUACUAAGAAGAAAGUCCAAAGCUUUUAUCAUAUUCUCAAAGAAGUCUUUGAACAAAAACAGGUUAAAAGCCUCUAUUGGUUCAUUAUCCUGCAAAAUUCUGUGUGGCAAAUCACUUCAAAAGUCAGUGGCUUAAACCACCCUCAUUUAUUCUCACUCAAAUGCUUGUGUACAGUGAGUAAUUCUGCUGAUCUCCGCUGGUCUUGGCUGAACUCUUCUCCAGGACAUGGAUUCGGGUCAGAUCUCUCCUGUGUCACUCAUCCUUCUGGGUCUAGUAAGCCACUUGAGGAUUAAAACUCAUCUGUGGAAUCAAGACUUCCCUGUAAUCACAUCCAACCAGACUUCAAUCAAAACUCAGGCAUAUGAAAGCCUCUUAGUUUCAGAUGUAUUUAAAAAACAUUUCCUUUCACUCUCUGAAUCUUCUUGAAGAAUAAACUUUGUGUCUUUUUGAAAUUAUCUCCUCUUGCAGUUUUCAAUCUUUUCCUCUCACCAGGGCAAAGACUGAAGCAAUCUGUAAUUAAUGUCUUGAAAAAUAUUUAGGUGGAUUUAAUAAAGAGACCCAAACAGUAAAAAGCUCCACAUACCUACAUGUUUUCUUUAAUUGAAGAAAUGCUAGAGAAUUCUGGAAAAAUUGCUAAAAUCCCAUGGCAGUUCCAUACUGACCUAUUAAAGGAUAUGAAGGUCUGUGUGUCAGUCUUUCAGUGGCUCUCCUAAUGGUAUAAAGAUGAUCAGUAAUUAAUCUUGGAUGUUUAAGGUAUGUUUUUAUUUGUUAACCAAGGGACUUACCUACAUGACCUCUUUGCAUCUCUUCCAAUUUAGACCCAACCAGUUGACUUAAUUAAAUAGGAUUUUCUUUCUCCUUCAAAGUUAUCUGUGUUUAGGGAGAAAGAAUGUAAGUGUAUCUCUGUGUAUCGAUUUCUUUCCUUGUAGUGUGUGUGAAGGAGAAACAUCUUGCAAGAUCUUUCCCUUGGCAUAGGAAUAAGUAGACAAUCUAAUUUUAAAGACGCCAAAGCAUAGGGGAAUUAAUAUGCAACGCUGGCAUGCAUUUGAAUCCUGAUUUCAUGACUUACUAUGUGACCUUGGGUUAGUGGGUGAGCUGGUUUAACCUCAAUUUCCUUCAAACGUUUUUAUGGGGAUUAUGGAAAAUCAUGUAUGUAUGGUCUUCAACUCAAUUCCUGCCACAAAGUAAGCACUGAAAAACAUGGUUUAAUGAGAAAUUGCUGCAUCUACUAUCUCUGUUUGUAUAUUCACAAAUAAGAGGUGAUAUGGGCUGCAAAAUGAGUGAAAUACUGAUUUAGCUUUAUUGAUGAAAAACACAUUUGAAUGAACUAUGCAUAAAGGCUUAUUCUACCUUCUGGUGACAUGGGGCACUCCUAUUAAAUCACAUUUUAAUGAAACACAUCCUCAAAGCAGCUUAUCAGUAUAUGCUUGUUACUGGGGUCUAACUAAAGUAUAGGAACACAUAAUCAAAGGGUAGUCAGAGUCAAGGGUGUUUGUUUUCAAAGAUCUAGAAGGGGAAAACUUAAAAUCAGAUUUUAAAUAGGUGGAAAGAAACAAGGCGGCAUACAUCUCUUUAUUACUGAUCUUUUAUUUACCUUUUAUUUAGUAGGCCCUGUCCUGGGUGCACUGAGGAAAUCAAAGGUGAAAAGACAGGGUGUCUGAGCAAGCAGGACUCUGUCCUAAUGCAUGUUUGCACCCACAGCUUUGGGCUUUGCAAAGAAUGCCUGAAAAUCUACCCUCUCCUGGUAGUGGGAGGUUUUGGCAGGGCGGGGGCAGGAGAAUAAAAAAUGAUGCUGAUGAUGUGGGUGGAAACAUUUGGGGAAACAUUUCAAAGGCCAUUCUGAGGAAUUUGUGAAAAAAAUGAGUAGUAAAAAUAAGAGGGAACCAUAACAGGUUCUUAAUUUUUUUUUUUUUUUUGUAAGAAGGAACGGAAUGAUACAAAUGAUACUGGAGGAUGCUUACUUCAGCAAAUAUAAAAGCAGUUGACUAGAUAGGGGAGAGAAUGGGGUUAUGUGGAUAUUUCUAUCUAUAUCAGAAACAACUUCAUGUUAAUUAUACACCUGUUGUAGGUAGCACAGUUAUUCUCUCCAUUUGUGGAGAUGGGACAGUUAAUUGUAGCAGUGAAUGAGACAUAGAAGAAUCGCCACAUCACAAGAGUCACUAUCAAAGUUGUUUUUAAAAAUCCUGUGAACAUUUUCCCAAUAUCUGAAUUUAUCAUGGAUUAUCUUUCUUCCCUUCAAUUCUUACUUUAGUGGAAAGACAUUUAAAAAGGGAAUAAUUAGGACCCUAGCUCCAAGGAAAAGAUAUCUAGUCAACGUACCUAUUUCUAGAACAGGUCUCGGUCACAGCUAAUCAGAGAAGCUAAUAUCUACAUAUCUUAGGACCUUAAAAUGAUGUUUACUUUGUAGACAUAGAGAUUGGGUGGGAGAGAAAAAUGAUUUACUAUUAUUCAAAGACAUACUAGAUUUGAUAUUUUCCAGUGACUUUCUCAGAAAGAUAUAAAAAGUGUUUUAGUUUUUACAUUUUGAAGUGGUAUUUGUAAUAGUAUAUGAAAUGCUAUUUAUAAU
ensembl:lncRNA